CUGAACAUUGAUUAUGACACAGAGACAAUAGUAUAUAUAGGUUUAGGCCUUCUAGACAUGUGUUACAGUUUGUCUAUGGUGAAUCUGCAGAGUCCUCGACCAUCUCCCGUACCAAAUGUGGCAUUUGCUAGAUGAGGGAGAGAUAAAGUCCAUGUUUUAGAAGCCCAUAUAGAGUAUAUACAUAACAAAAGCUAGUCCUACAUAAUACAGAGCAGGUUAGCAAAUGCAUACUAUGAUAUCCUCUUGUAGUAGUACUACUGGUUCUUUGUAUAUAAAAUAGCUGUUUGACUAGCAUAGUACAUGUAAAAAAUAAGAGGAAGAGUUCCCUAUAUAGGAGUAAAAAUGUUCCCUGUUUGUUUUUUUGGCCGGGUAUGUUAUUAUUGGCUUAGCCUCAACUCUGAAAAGAUCAUAACAUUUUCUUUAGGGAUGUAAGGCAUCAGAAGAAUUUAUCGCACAAAGAAAUGCUUAUGCAACAGUUCCUCCAAUGCAUGACGCACACUACUGCCACUUCAAUCCGUGGCACGGUGGCAACACUUUUCUCAUCACCUAGGGUCUUUGUGAGAAAAGUUGGUUAUUUUCUCCAUGUGAUGAGAAUGUCUUACUUUUUGAAUAUGGAUUUGCCUUUUAGAUGGUCACUCUGUCAUCCAGGUGUUGGAGUCCAGUGGCUGAAAAAAAAAACUACUUCAGCACCCAAAGCCACUAUUUUUUGAGAAUAUAAACGAAAUGUUUUUAUUUUGUGCUCCAUAAUAUCUUUACGAAAACUCCUGAUAUUUGGAACCUGUAACUCUGAGAGCAUUUUCGCUUAUUGUAGAUAGUGAAUACACAUGUUAGAUGUGCUCUAUAUGCAACCUGGUAUUUGGGACAACAUACCGUCAAACAGCAGGACAGCAUACAGUCAAACUGCAGAAGCCAAGAAAGUGGGCUGGAUUGGGCCUGAUAUUUGGGCCGUAAACCAUGAAAAUUAUAAGACAUUUUGGCUAUUUUAUCCUUUGACUAGAUUUACUAACGUCCAUAUGAAUUUGGAUACAUAUAUGAAACACAUACUUGGAUGAAUGUAUUUAAAACCUUAAGCGUCUUGUAAAGUGAGACAGCAAAAGUAGUAUAUAUAGACCUUCUCUUUUCUCUAGCUCAGAAGUCGAUACAUGUUCUUGACCCACAGAAUCCUCAGUGUGCAUUGGUUGAACACAACAAUGGGAGUAUUUAUGGGAUGGCGAGUUGGACUAUUGUGCAAGCUGUCAAAUGAUGGAGAGGCCUAUUAGAAUGGAGGGCAUUGGGAGAAAUGUCAGUUCCUAUUGAUCGAGCAUCAGGGAAACUAUUGCUAUGACACCUAGAACAGAACAAGAGUAUACUAUCAGGGAGCAAGGGCACAUGGAAACCAUGUUGAGUAACAGACCAGAUUACGCACGAGGUGCAGCUUCUUUUUUCUCUGGACUGAACAAGGUGCAGCAUCUGUGUUUCUCGGCUGAACAAGGUGCAGCAUCUUGUUCCAAACUAACUGCACAUCUGCAUACAAUGCUCCCUUGUUCGCUCCUUCUGGCACGUAAUACAGCUCCAACCUUCGAUUACCAGCAUGACGACUGAAUUAGCGGGUCUGCAGCCGCCGCCAAAUCUCCCCCGAAAACACUUCCAAAUUUUUUAUCUCCUUUGUUUUUGGGGUCUUUGGAACUACCGUUAUGAUGUUGUACAUGUUCCGUGGGAUGCAACAUGUUCGCUGAGGAGAUUAGCGACGAAAUGCUUAGAGGACGCCACCCUCUGAGCGGAACAUCUUAAUGUCGAUGAUAGAGUGGUUGUUUCCUCUUGGAAGGAAGCUUUUUCCUCCUCUCGAAUAUAAUCUGUAAUUUAAUCCAAAA